GAAGCUGAGAAUCAUAAAAUAGCACUUAUAUUUCAAAUACAUAUUUAGUUUCGGACGCGGGUUCAACUCCCGCCAGCUCCACCA
rnacentral:tRNA from 1 species